rnacentral:rRNA from 1 species
GAGGAAUAUUGGUCAAUGGACGAGAGUCUGAACCAGCCAAGUAGCGUGAAGGAUGACUGCCCUAUGGGUUGUAAACUUCUUUUAUACGGGAAUAAAGUGAGGCACGUGUGCCUUUUUGUAUGUACCGUAUGAAUAAGGAUCGGCUAACUCCGUGCCGGCAGCCGCGGUAAUACGGAGGAUCCGAGCGUUAUCCGGAUUUAUUGGGUUUAAAGGGAGCGUAGGCGGACGCUUAAGUCAGUUGUGAAAGUUUGCGGCUCAACCGUAAAAUUGCAGUUGAUACUGGGUGUCUUGAGUACAGUAGAGGCAGGCGGAAUUCGUGGUGUAGCGGUGAAAUGCUUAGAUAUCACGAAGAACUCCGAUUGCGAAGGCAGCUUGCUGGACUGUAACUGACGCUGAUGCUCGAAAGUGUGGGUAUCAAACAGGAUUAGAUACCCUGGUAGUCCACACAGUAAACGAUGAAUACUCGCUGUUUGCGAUAUACAGUAAGCGGCCAAGCGAAAGCGUUAAGUAUUCCACCUGGGGAGUACGCCGGCAACGGUGAAACUCAAAGGAAUUGACGGGGGCCCGCACAAGCGGAGGAACAUGUGGUUUAAUUCGAUGAUACGCGAGGAACCUUACCCGGGCUUGAAUUGCAACUGAAUGAUGUGGAGACAUGUCAGCCGCAAGGCAGUUGUGAAGGUGCUGCAUGGUUGUCGUCAGCUCGUGCCGUGAGGUGUCGGCUUAAGUGCCAUAACGAGCGCAACCCUUAUCGAUAGUUACCAUCAGGUUAUGCUGGGGACUCUGUCGAGACUGCCGUCGUAAGAUGUGAGGAAGGUGGGGAUGACGUCAAAUCAGCACGGCCCUUACGUCCGGGGCUACACACGUGUUACAAUGGGGGGUACAGAAGGCAGCUACACGGCGACGUGAUGCUAAUCCCGAAAGCCUCUCUCAGUUCGGAUUGGAGUCUGCAACCCGACUCCAUGAAGCUGGAUUCGCUAGUAAUCGCGCAUCAGCCACGGCGCGGUGAAUACGUUCCCG